rnacentral:rRNA from 1 species
GACGAACGCUGGCGGCGUGCCUAAUACAUGCAAGUAGAACGCUGAAGAGAGGAGCUUGCUCUUCUUGGAUGAGUUGCGAACGGGCGAGUAACGCGUAGGUAACCUGCCUGGUAGCGGGGGAUAACUAUUGGAAACGAUAGCUAAUACCGCAUAAAAUGGAUUAUCGCAUGAUAAUCCAUUGAAAGGUGCAAAUGCAUCACUACCAGAUGGACCUGCGUUGUAUUAGCUAGUUGGUGGGGUAACGGCUCACCAAGGCGACGAUACAUAGCCGACCUGAGAGGGUGAUCGGCCACACUGGGACUGAGACACGGCCCAGACUCCUACGGGAGGCAGCAGUAGGGAAUCUUCGGCAAUGGACGGAAGUCUGACCGAGCAACGCCGCGUGAGUGAAGAAGGUUUUCGGAUCGUAAAGCUCUGUUGUAAGAGAAGAACGAGUGUGAGAGUGGAAAGUUCACACUGUGACGGUAUCUUACCAGAAAGGGACGGCUAACUACGUG